rnacentral:rRNA from 1 species
AUUGAACGCUGGCGGCAUGCCUUACACAUGCAAGUCGAACGGUAACAGGUCUUCGGAUGCUGACGAGUGGCGAACGGGUGAGUAAUACAUCGGAACGUGCCCGAUCGUGGGGGAUAACGAAGCGAAAGCUUUGCUAAUACCGCAUAAGAUCUACGGAUGAAAGCAGGGGACCGCAAGGCCUUGCGCGAACGGAGCGGCCGAUGGCAGAUGAGGUAGUUGGUGGGAUAAAAGCUUACCAAGGCGACGAUCGGUAGCUGGUCUGAGAGGACGACCAGCCACACGGGGACUGAGAAACGGCCCAGACUCCUCCGGGAGGCAGCAGUGGGGAAUUUUGGACAAUGGGCGAAAGCCUGAUCCAGCCAUGCCGCGUGCAGGAUGAAGGACUUCGGGUUGUAAACUGCUUUUGUACGGAACGAAAAGACUCUUUCUAAUAAAGAGGGUCCAUGACGGUACCCGCAGAAGAAGCUCCGGCUAACUUCGUGCCAGCCGCCGCCGUAACAC